AGCACCGCCGCGGUAAUACAGAGGGUGCGAGCGUUAAUCGGAUUUACUGGGCGUAAAGCGUGCGUAGGCGGCUUUUUAAGUCGGAUGUGAAAUCCCUGAGCUUAACUUAGGAAUUGCAUUCGAUACUGGGAAGCUAGAGUAUGGGAGAGGAUGGUAGAAUUCCAGGUGUAGCGGUGAAAUGCGUAGAGAUCUGGAGGAAUACCGAUGGCGAAGGCAGCCAUCUGGCCUAAUACUGACGCUGAGGUACGAAAGCAUGGGGAGCAAACAGGAUUAGAUACCCCCGUAGUCCCUGUCUCUUAUACA
rnacentral:rRNA from 1 species